rnacentral:rRNA from 1 species
GUGGGGAAUAUUGGACAAUGGGCGAAAGCCUGAUCCAGCCAUGCCGCGUGUGUGAAGAAGGUCUUCGGAUUGUAAAGCACUUUAAGUUGGGAGGAAGGGUUGUUUCCUAAUACGAAGCAAUUUUGACGUUACCGACAGAAUAAGCACCGGCUAACUCUGUGCCAGCAGCCGCGGUAAUACAGAGGGUGCAAGCGUUAAUCGGAAUUACUGGGCGUAAAGCGCGCGUAGGUGGUUUGUUAAGUUGAAUGUGAAAUCCCCGGGCUCAACCUGGGAACUGCAUCCAAAACUGGCAAGCUAGAGUAGGGUAGAGGGUGGUGGAAUUUCCUGUGUAGCGGUGAAAUGCGUAGAUAUAGGAAGGAACACCAGUGGCGAAGGCGACCACCUGGACUCAUACUGACACUGAGGUGCGAAAGCGUGGGGAGCAAACAGG